UGUUUUACUGUGUUGGACUCAACCAAGGCUACUGUCCAAUUUUAAUAGAUGUAUUUUCCACAGGAAAUUAAUGUAUUGUUUCCCCAAAGCUAUUUCAGUCGGUAAACGUCGCUGCAGGCUGCCUGAGCUGCACGUUACUUCAGCUGGCCAAACAAAUCAGGUGCCCUCGGACGGUCCUCUGCCUAGUUUUAGCCAAGUGAGCUGUGACAGUCCCAGGGCUACCACUGGUAGCUGAACAACCCUACGUAUUUUUCACAUGGAAAACGGUGUACAGAGAGAUUCCUAACUGUUGUGUUAGUUCUUUGGCGAUCUGUACUAUGCGGAGUCAGCAUCACUGCAAGUGUUCAAGAAAUGCGUAGAUGUGGCACUGAGGGACAUGGGGAUCACCUCAGCAGGCCUGAGCGGGGCAGUGCACUGCAGGGAAGGGGGCUUGGAACAGAGAAUAUUUAGGGGAGGAAUGACAGCACUGUGCCAGCCUGCAGCAGCUGCACCAAGUUACUGGAACACCAGAACACUUAUUCUACAGGCCUAGAAGCAAAGGAUUCUAAAGGUGUUUUCAGAAGGUGCCCAUGCUACUGAGAAGUGUAUGCACCAUUUUUAAAAGUGCCUUGCUGAGAGAUGAUGGACUGGGUAGGUCCUGCAGAGAAAUCAAAUGGACAUUUUCGAAAACUGUACCCCUUAUUUUAAAAGAAAGGAAAACGUGAGGCAAUCACAGCUGAUUCAGCAUCCGGCAGUCUCAGCCAAGUCAUAUUUUACCUCUUCCCUUCCCUCCCCGCACAAAACUUCCAGGAAAACCUGCAAAGAAAAGGCAUAUGUGGGUAGGAGGAGACCCGCUUUUAAUUUCUGUACCUCCUAUUCAACACAAUGCCACACAAUGCACAGGAUGCGAAUAUCCCAAGACACCUUAUACAAUACAAGUAACAAAAGCACACACACAUGCACAAGAAAGGGGGAGAAGCAAGCAAGUCAGAGUUACACACCAAAGUGCAGGUAAAGCUAUCUCUAAGGUGCUUAUGUGAAGGAGCUCUAUGAAAAAUUCAUCUUUAGAAAAGAGAAGCAGGGGACUGGAAAAAUACUUCAGUGAACGUGAAAACUACAUUUCCAUUUCAAAGCAGGAUUUAUCUAUUUUUCUCUGCUGUGUUGAAUGUAGUGGUCAGAUCUUCAUUACAAGCAAAGGAGGAGGUCCUAAGGAGGUCUUUGCACUGAGGUGCAACAGAGAUGCUCCUAUGGUUGGUCUAUAGAGCAACCUGCUGUUUGGAGGGCACUGGGUCACAUAAUGGCUGUGACUAUAGCCUGCAGAAAUCGCUGAAGUUUGAAGUGUAUCACCACGGCUGUAACGGUUUUCCCCUUCUUUUGGCUGAGGAGAGGAUAGUGCACAUAGGGUCUGCUCACUCCCAAGAAACAGCACCUGGCCUGGUUAAAGGAGGUCCUUCAGGAGAUGAGACCACAGCCAUGUCCUGGUGAAGUGCAGAGUGCCUGAGGCAACACCCAGCAUUGCAGCUCCUGUCAGCACUCAAUGAGUGCAUCAGAGCCUGAUCAAAAAAAUCAAGGUUUCCUCCAAGCCUGUUGCUGAGGCAUGGCUCUGCAUGUCCAUCAGAAUGACCAGCCUGUGGGUGAAGCACCGGGAACCUUGCUUGACCUGAUCUCAGCUCAGGCACAAGUCACUCAAAGUUUGUGAGCUUGCAAAAUCUGUGAAGAAAAUAUAACUUCUGAGCCAGACACUCUUUAACAUUUGUCUGGAGUUGCUGUGAGAUUUUUACAGCAAGGAUGUAUUCUGCUUUUAGAUAGGAAUGAAAGCAAAACACUUCAAAUAAUCAAACAAAUAAAGAAAACCAUGGAACAUGAUCUUUACAAUAUAUUUAUUAGGAAGACAAUUUUCUAACAUACAAAAAUAGGGCUUUGUAUGUAGAUAGGAAGACUAGAAGACUUCUAGUCACAAGGCUACUGGCUGGUGCAUCAAAAUCCAGUGUGAACAUACGGAGGCAGAGAGGAGAAACUGCAGGAAGCAGAGGUGGGCUAUAGCCAUGAAUCAUUUCUCCCUUUGGAAUGAGGUCACUAGAGUAACUUGUUUAACCGAUUACGUAUUUCAUCAGUAUUUGAGAAAAAAAUGAAACUGGCACUUUUUUAUUGUAUUUGUGUAUUGACGGACAGUUGCUAUCAGUAUAGUGUAAUUAGAUGGGCAAAGAGGAUCAUUUUGAGCAUCUCAGCUGCCUAAUUCUGGAUCCAAAUAACAAACAAUACCACAUUCUCCCUUAAUGGACAUUCAGUUACCACAUCAAAUACAUGCUUGGUGCAACAUUACUGGGAAAUUCAUGAGGAAGAAGGUAGAAAACAAAAGCAGAGAAAUAUUUUUUAGUAUUGCGUAUUGUGAAGUGUGACGAUACAGAGAUUUUUUAUAACGGCUCUUGGAAUUCUCACUAAUGGAACAAGAUGUCCCAUGCCCACUAGCAGCCACAGAGCUGCAGCUGCUGUGCUGCUUAAAGCUUCUGUGAAGGACACAGAUUUAUUAUGUUGCGUAUCACCACUUCCUACAUUUCUGACAGGAUUGCACUCUGGCUUUUGCUUUUGUUUUUCUAAAAAUAAAAGUCAAAACAAACAAAUGAGGUGUUGCUGUACAAAGGAAGGGUAAUCCUAGCUGCAUGUAGAGGUGUCUUUCACAGUAGAAAUGUUUAGGAUGUUUGAAGACGCGUAUAAAAAAUCAUUUUGUAUUAACCGAGUAAAUAUCACUUAAAUAAUUGGCUGAACUUUUGGGUGUUUGUGCUCUGUAAUCAAUGCUCUGUGGUUUAAUGUGAAUUUGGGUAGAUAGAUGAAUAACUGGUCCUCCUUCGGCAGGGCCUGGCCCCGCUCCGCAGUGAGCCCCUCGCCCAGCCCUGCGGCCUGCUACUCCCCAUCCCACCUCGCCCUGUGGAUCUGGCUGCCUCUGGCCCCAGCUGGCACCUCCUCACCUGCCAGCUCAGGAAAAGGACUCAUUUGUUAUCUGAGCAUUGGGCUGAGUGGUAAAACUGCCCCAAAGUGAAUCAGUAGGCUAGUUCCAGUAAGUGACUUCAUUAUUCUUGUGUUUGUGUUUGGCUUAAAGCCAAUGGCUGCCUUAGGAACACGCUGAACACAAAUGGAGUUCCGUGAAAGUUAGUGUGUACCAUGCACGAAUAUCCUCUUAGCACAUUCUCUGGUGUCCAUAAGAGUGCACUCAUAAAUGUAUCUUUUUAUAGUGAAACAACAUCCAAAGCUUAUCCCAUAGGUACUCCACAACUAGUUUUUGUUGUUGUUGUUGUUGUUGUUUAUUUUUAUUUUUUUUUUUUCUGUAGAAAGCAGAGCUCUUAUCCGUGUGUGAAAUGUGCUGAUAUAUUCCCAGUCAUCCAGAAUCCAAACUCCUGUGCAGACAAAUAGAAGUACAGGCAAUUUUUGCAGGGUCCUGGCUCUCAGAUAGGGGUUGGAGAGACAGAACAAAAAAUUAUCUUUGCUUUGCACUGAACUUUUCAGCAGUUUUAAGUGGUUCUGCUCUGAGGAAAUCAAGACCUUUUGGGAAUGGGGCACUUUUUCUGCUUGUUUAUUUGUUUGUUUAGUGUAUAUAAAACCAGAGAGACUGAGGCAUAGGUGAAGCAGCCCUGAGACCCGAGACCAGGAAUUCAGGGACUAAUCCAUGGGUUUGACCUGAUCAUCAGAAUAUUCGUUGCUCUGUAGAGAAGUUGUCUCUCUCACUCAUGGCCUACAACACCAGUAAACUGCUGUAAAAUAUUACAUUGUGGAGAAAUUAAUUCUAUUAUUUUACGUAGAUCUACUCUUGAAUGGCAAGAUAGCCUUUCAGCACAGCUUGGAGGCCAUAUCAGAUCUGCUGUCCUCUAAUUCCAAAUAUCCUUCAUCAGAUUCUGGGACAGAUCAAACUAUAAAUUGCUGAAUGAAAUAUCUAAAACACACGUAUUGACAAGCUGCUACACAUUUAAUACAUCUUGAGAACAGAAAAGAUUUUCUGUGGGAAGUUCUGUAUAGAAAGGAGAAAGCUCUGAGUGAGCAAGAAGUAGGGAGAAAAGCUUGCUGAGAUCUUUGUUGUGUAAUAAACUAUAAUUCAAUCAUGGCUGAUUACUUCAUACUGCGUAAAAGAGCUAACACCUUGUGUGCCUACAAUGUACACAGGGCUCUGGUGCUCUCCAGGUUAGACACAGAUCUGUAACCCCAAGGAACAGUCACCAACACCAACAGCCUCCGCCCAGCAGAACAGAGGGAAUGUGGUGUAAAUUCCAAACUAAAAUUAGGCAGUUUGCUCCAGAACCACACCUAAAAACGUCUCCCUAUUUUGUUUUUGUUUAUGCAUAUGUUUUUUAAUUUUCUUUAAUAAACAGAACCUAAGCACAAGGUCAGAACCACCUCUUUUUCCAUUCCUCUUCUUCAUCACAUUGGGUUCCAUCAGGGUCUCACACUACAGUGACCACAAGAUAUUUGUUUUCAUAUAUCUAGUAAUGUCUUCCAUGUAGAAGUACAGCUUUAGUAGCUUGUGACCCAUGUUCAGUUUUGACUAAUAUUUGUAUUUCCAACUAAUGGCCUCAGUAAAAAAAAAAAUAAAAAAAUCUGUUUGUGUCCUGCCACUGCAGCACAAACACAGCAAUGAUGAGAUGUUCUGCCAAAGCUACCGGUAAAGGAUUGUGAGGGUUUGUGUUUAGGAACAAAAAUGAACACAGCAGUUUGGUGCUCAUGUUGGUUGCCACUAGGAGGAAGGAACACAUGAUGACUGUAUCUUCAGGUGCUCAUUUGUUGUAACACCUGUGCUGUGAAUUUGGGCCCUCUUCCUCAGGCUUGAGCAAUUAAUCUUGAGAAGGUGGGAUGGCCAAGUAUGUCUCUUAACUGCAGGUGGUGAGCAUGGGCUAUGGGGUUUCUAACACAAGUUUUGGCCACGAAGCUUCAUGUCCAAUGGACAUUCUCAUAAUUAUAUCAUUAGAAAAGAAAUACAGUGUCUAUUAUCUCUGAGUGUUUAGACAAGACUUUGGCAUUAUUGUCUGGGCAAUGAAGUGACUCAGUGCAGUAGGAAUGCCAGCUAUGAGCAAAGGAAUUCUUUACAUCCCACCCAGGGGAGUAAGAGGGAAUCUCUGGCACAUCCUUGUGUACAGUGCAAACAGCUAGACAGCUUCCAGCUGCUGGACGCAGCUCUACAUAAAAGUGAACUACAAAGUGGGGGGAACGUGGGUGUGUUUUGUUUUGACUGUGUUGUAGUGCAGAAAGAUCUAGUUUUCCUCUAGAUCUUUUUUUCCUCUCUCUGUCUCUGUUUGCGUUCCUUUUGUUUGUUUGUUUAAUAUUAGGAAUUUGGACUUCACUUAUCCCUGGAAAACACAGUGGCUAAGUUGAACUAAUGAUAAUUAUGGAGUGAAAGCUGAGAAAUGGAAUGGAAAGGAUUUUGCAAAAUGGCAGCUUCAUAAUUCCCCAGAAGGUACUUCACUUCACUCAGCAAUCUCUACCAUUACUAGUGCCACGCUGAUAGUUGAAUGCUAAAGUCUUGGCCCUGAAACUAAUGUGCUAGGGGUCUAUCUACUGACAGCAGCUAGCUAACCUAUUCUGGAGCUGUAAGGCAUGUUUUAUUUUUAACUUUGGUGCUAGUCAACAGACAUAUGCUCUUUGGGUAGCUUGAUAAGGAUCUGCUUCCAUCUACAAAAUUGUUAUAGUCAUGAGUACUUGGUAUUUUCCUGUCUGCUGCUCACACUGCCCCAGCAAUGGUGGUUUGCUCUUGUGGAGGCCACAGAGACUCUACAACAUACAUAAUAAGUAAUAGCUCUGCACUAAGCUUGCCUCCACCAUGCUUGUCAAUUUUGUGAGACACGUUCCUGCUUUGUGGGACACUGACACCAUCUCCCAAGUACUUCGGACACAGGCAUAAUGCUAUCAGACAUAUGGUUUGAAAUUUGCAUAGUCCUGUGCAGAGCCAGGAGUUGGAAUCAAUGAUCCUUACAGGUCCCUUCCAACUCAGGAUAUUCAAUGAUUCUAUUCUGUGACUCUGUGAGUCUCCAGCUGCAAGUCCUGACUAGAGAAAUUGGAGCAUGGAGCUCUUCGCACUCAUAGUGCUCCUGCUAGCAUCAAUGCUGUGGGCACAGGGCUGCAUUAACUAGAAAAUAGGAGAGACUAUGGGGACCAUUACCCAAAUGGAGUAGCGUUCCCUCCCCAUAACAAUCAUGCCUAAGCCCAGAUGGAUCUGAGCUGGAGCAUGCAGCUGUAGGCACCCAGCUCUUCUCAUAGGCUCUUUGUGAAGAUGCCAAUGGAUGUCUCCAUUCCCUAUGGCUUGGUGAGCGCCAUUGGAUGAUUGGUCAUUUGCUUCACCUGCUGUUCAUUGAGCUGCUGCUGAUACUGGGAGGGGUUUAAAAGGUUAGCUGGCUUGAUGUGUGUGUGUUCUGCCAGAGCAGAAGGAACAAGCAGGGUCUGUAUGUCUUGGAUACUUUCAUGUGCAGAACAAGUUCCUUGGCACAUCCUGGGGUAGCUGAUGCUCCAGAAUCUGCAGCAACAAGCACGUAUGAAGCACAGUUGUUGAAGUAAUGAAGUGUAUUUAGAUAAUAUGUGGGUUUGGAGCUUGGUUUGGUGCAUGUGCCAGGGGUGAAAACUUUUGACAGCUCUCACUUUCUCUUUUAGGGCUGUCACUAUUGCUUUAUCCCUUGAAUUUUACAGUAAGCCCUUAGGGGAUGGGUUGAAGCCUUUUCUCUUUGAAAUAUUGCACCGUAAGAUGGUAGAUGGGUAAUAAUAGUAGGCAGAAGGUAAAGAACUUAGGCCUUCAUUUCAGAUCUCUGAUCUUCCAGGUAUCCAUGUUGUAAAGUCCCUUUCCAGCUGAUUCUCAGU